rnacentral:rRNA from 1 species
UACGUAGGGUGCGAGCGUUAAUCGGAAUUACUGGGCGUAAAGCGUGCGCAGGCGGUUGUGCAAGACAGAUGUGAAAUCCCCGGGCUUAACCUGGGAACUGCAUUUGUGACUGCACAGCUAGAGUACGGCAGAGGGGGAUGGAAUUCCGCGUGUAGCAGUGAAAUGCGUAGAGAUCCGGAGGAACACCAGUGGCGAAGGCGACACGCUGGGCCGUACCUGACACUGAUGCGCGACAGCAUGGGGAGCAAACAGG